UCCUUAAAUAAUUUGAAAAUAUGCAACUCUCUUUUACUUUCUGCUAUACCUCACUUGAAUUUUCAGUGGGUUUCUUAAAUUUAUUUUAAUUUAUGAACUUUGUCUCCCUUCACUCAAGUGUAUUUAAAAAAAAUAUAGUAUGAUAAUUUAAACGAGUUACUUGUGUUUAGCCUAUGAAUUUGUUUAGCGUUAGAAAUUUUUAGAAACUUUAAAAAAAAUAUGAUUCUUGAUUUUUUUUUGUUUGCAGACAAAGCUCAAGGUCUAUAUCCUUAGGAAAGAAGAAUUGGCAAUUUUACUGUGGAAUUUGAGUGAGUAUCUUUUCUAUUUAUUUCUCAUUCUAAUAGCAACUUUACAAUUAAAUUUUUAUAAUAUAUCAUGUUUAAAUCAAAAUAGCAGUGAGUACACAUUAAAAUUAUAUUUUUUUCCUUUUCACACAGGUACAUUGAAAAAUUGAAUGAAGAGUAAAGUUAUUAGAUAAGUUGGCUACAUUAGCAUAUAAGGAGUAACAAUUUUAUUUUCUUAUUGACGACUAACAUUAUGUACUUCCAUUAGGAUCAUAUAAGAAUCUUUUAUUGAGAUUAUUUCAAUAUUAUUUUAAUUCUAAAAUAUAUAUGAUCAUGAGAGACACUUUUUGUUAUUAUGUUAAAUGUUUUAUUUUAUUGUGUUGAGUUUAUAUUAUUAUAUGAUAUCUGCUAAGUUUAAAAAAUAAAUUUAAUAUUUGUCAUGAUGUUAAUUUAAUAAAUUUUCAUGUUACAUAUUAUGACUUUAGACUUUUCCUAGUAAACUUGAAUUUUCAGUGGGUUUCUUAAAUUUAUUUUAAUUUGUGAACUUUGUCUCCCUUCACUCUAGUGUAUUUUUUAAAAUGAUAGUAUGAUAAUUUAAACGAGUUACUUGUGUUUAGCCUAUGAAUUUGUUCAGCGUUAGAAAUUUUUAGAAACUUUUAAAAAAAUAUGAUUCAUGAUUUUUUUUUGUUUGCAGACAAAGCUCAAGGUCUAUAUCCUUAGAAAAGAAGGAUUGGCAAUUUUAAGAAUUUGAGUGAGUAUCUUUUCUAUUUAUUUCUCAUUCUAAUAUCAACUUUACAAUUAAAAUUUUAUAAUAUAUCAUGUUUAAAUCAAAAUAGCAGUGAGUACACAUUAAAAUUAUAUCUUUUUCCUUUUCACACAGGUACAUUGAAAAAUUGAAUGAAGAGUAAAGUUAUUAGAUAAGUUUGCUACAUUAGCAUAUAAGGAGUAACAUUUUUAUUUAUUUAUUGACGACUAACAUUAUGUACUUCCGUUAGGAUCAUAUAAGAAUCUUUAAUGAGAUUAUUUCAAUAUUAUUUUAAUUCUAAAAUAUAUAUGAUCAUGAGAGACACUUUUUGUUACUA
rnacentral:lncRNA from 1 species